rnacentral:rRNA from 1 species
AGGACGAACGCUGGCGGCGUGCCUAACACAUGCAAGUCGAACGAGGUCCAACCGGUGGCAACACUGGUGAAGACCGAGUGGCGAACGGGUGAGUAACACGUGAGCAACCUGCCUCGAAGACUGGGAUAACCCCGGGAAACCGGAGCUAAUACCGGAUACCCCCACCGGGUCGCAUGGCCUGGUGAGGAAAUGGAUUCCGCUUUGAGAGGGGCUCGCGGCCUAUCAGCUUGAUGGUGGGGUAAUGGCCUACCAUGGCACCGACGGGUAGCUGGUCUGAGAGGACGAUCAGCCACACUGGGACUGAGACACGGCCCAGACUCCUACGGGAGGCAGCAGUGGGGAAUCUUGCGCAAUGGGCGAAAGCCUGACGCAGCAACGCCGCGUGUGGGACGAAGGCCUUCUGGGUUGUAAACCACUUUCAGCAGGGACGAUUGUGACGGUACCUGCAGAAGAAGCACCGGCUAACUACGCGCCAGCAGCCGC